UACGUAGGGUGCAAGCGUUAAUCGGAAUUACUGGGCGUAAAGCGUGCGCAGGCGGUUAUGUAAGACAGGUGUGAAAUCCCAGGGCUUAACCUUGGAACUGCAUUUAUGACUGCAUAGCUAGAGUACGGUAGAGGGGGAUGGAAUUCCGCGUGUAGCAGUGAAAUGCGUAGAUAUGCGGAGGAACACCGAUGGCGAAGGCAAUCCCCUGGACCUGUACUGACGCUCAUGCACGAAAGCGUGGGGAGCAAACAGG
rnacentral:rRNA from 1 species